rnacentral:rRNA from 1 species
CGGGAAACCGGUGCUAAUACCGCAUACACCGAUGAGAUCUGCGGAUUUUGUCGGUAAAAAAAGCAGGGGGGCUAUGAGAGGGGUCCGCGGCUGAUUAGCUAGUUGGUGAGGUAAUGGCUCACCAAGGCAACGAUCAGUAGCCGGUCUGAGAGGACGGUCGGCCACACUGGAACUGAGACACGGUCCAGACUCCU